AGCGAACGCUGGCGGCAGGCUUAACACAUGCAAGUCGAACGGGCGUAGCAAUACGUCAGUGGCAGACGGGUGAGUAACGCGUGGGAACGUACCUUUUGGUUCGGAACAACACAGGGAAACUUGUGCUAAUACCGGAUAAGCCCUUACGGGGAAAGAUUUAUCGCCGAAAGAUCGGCCCGCGUCUGAUUAGCUAGUUGGUGAGGUAACGGCUCACCAAGGCGACGAUCAGUAGCUGGUCUGAGAGGAUGAUCAGCCACAUUGGGACUGAGACACGGCCCAAACUCCUACGGGAGGCAGCAGUGGGGAAUAUUGGACAAUGGGCGCAAGCCUGAUCCAGCCAUGCCGCGUGAGUGAUGAAGGCCCUAGGGUUGUAAAACUCUUUCGCUGGGGAAGAUAAUGACGGUACCCAGUAAAGAAACCCCGGCUAACUCCGUG
rnacentral:rRNA from 1 species